CUCGAUCUGUCCCAGCGUCUCUGUCUCCUAGGCCCCGCUGUCAGUGCCCCCUGCCCGUCCGGCAUUAACACCCCCGCUCUCCGUCCGCGGCGGCAGUGUAACAACUACUGCUGCGCCGCGGCCAGUUUGUGAUAGCAGCGCAGCGGAAGGCUUUCAUAGCCCUCCCUGCGCCGCAUACUCACUGGGACCCGGCGCCUUCUCCCCCACGUGUGAUGUCACUGCCACCGCCACCUGGCGCGCCCAGAUCCCUGGACUCCACAUCCCAGCACCUGACCAAAGUGAUGGAGAAGGAACGGGCAGAGCGGGUGCCGCUGCGGGGAGGUGAUGUUUGGACGCCGCACAGAUAUUACAGGUACCCCUAAUGGAUUCUACAUGGACAAGUGGACGUGAUCGGCGUGGGAUGUAGAACGAGGUACACAAUGAGCUGAGAAAAGCCGCAGACACUAUAUAUGUGCCAGGUUAUAUACUACGUAUCCACUGCUAGAAACAUGAAGACUCCAGUGAUGCCGGUUGCUAUGACAAUCUGAUGGGGAGAUGGCAGAGAGGCAGUAAAAUGAACAAUGAUACACUGCUUUUUAAAAUACAAUUCAUCCUUGGAAAAUCGUCCUAAAAAGAAAAGAAAGGGCCACAAAGGAUUCCAGUCGCCACUUCAGAAGACAGAUCAGUGUGAGCUGAGUCUGAUGAUAUGUGCUGUAUGCAGUGUCCCAGCUGGCAUCACUCUCAUUCUAUUGCUCUCAUAAGGACACUCACCUGAGGUUCAUUUCACACACAUUCCCAUAUUACUGCAGUCUGUGCGCAAUAAAGCAAGUCUA